rnacentral:rRNA from 1 species
AACGAACGCUGGCGGCGUGCUUAACACAUGCAAGUCGAACGGUGACGAUCAAGCUUGCUUGGUCUGAUCAGUGGCGAACGGGUGAGUAACACGUGAGUAACCUGCCCCAGACUCUGGGAUAACCCCGGGAAACCGGAGCUAAUACCGGAUAUGACAUGCCCCUGCAUGGGGAGUGUGUGGAAAGUUUUUUCGGUCUGGGAUGGACUCGCGGCCUAUCAGCUUGUUGGUGAGGUAAUGGCUCACAAAGGCGCCGACGGGUAGCCGGCCUGAGAGGGCGACCGGCCACACUGGGACUGAGACACGGCCCAGGCUCCUACGGGAGGCAGCAGUGGGGAAUAUUGCACAAUGGGCGAAAGCCUGAUGCAGCGACGCCGCGUGAGGGAUGACGGCCUUCGGGUUGUAAACCUCUUUCAGCAGGGAAGAAGCGCAAGUGACGGUACCUGCAGAAGAAGCACCGGCUAACUACGUGCCAGCCGCCGCCGUAACAC